UCCGCAUCCCACUUGUACCACUCAUGGAGGUUCUUAUACUGUGUGCAGGACCUCCACCUAACCCAGGUGGUGUCCAGUCCCACCAGGGGUAGUGCCUUGCAAGCCCUGGUCUUAGCAACAAGGGAUGAUCUCAUGGGGAACUUGUGAGUAUACAGUAACCUGGGAGAUAGUGACCAUCACUUGGUAGUGUUCACUAUCCAGUGAAGGAU